AUAAAUUUUGUAAUUUAAAAAAUUUAAUUUAAAUUUAUUUUACAUAUAAAUUUUAGUGUUAAUUUUUAAUUAUUUUAAUAAUUUUUUAAAAAUGAUUGGUAGUAAUUAAAAUUAUAAAUUUAAGAAAUUAAGAUUUAGUAAUAUUUAUAUUUAUUAACAAAUUUUGUGCCAGCAGUUGCGGUUAUACAAAUAAUAAUUUAAAUUUUAUUAGUAAAUAAUUAGUAUAAUAAGAAAAAAAUUAAAUAUUAAUUUAUUAGGUAAAAUUUUAAUUUAAUAAAAAUUUUAAUUAAUUAUAUGAUUUAUUAAAUUUUGAAAAAAACUAGGAUUAGAUACCCUAUUAUUAAAAAUUAAAUUAAUAAUACUAAAUUAGUAUAUAAUAAUUUAUAAAAACUUAAAUAAUUUGGCGGUAUUUUAGUUCAUUUAGAGGAAUCUGUUUAAUAAUUGAUAAUCCACGAAUAAAUUUACUUAAUUUAUAAAUUUUGUAUAUCGUUGUUAAAAAAAUAUUUUUUAAUAAAAAUAAUAUUUUAAAAUUAUAAAUAUAAUUUAGUUCAGAUCAAGAUGCAGAUUAUAAUUAAGAAUAUAAUGGAUUACAAUAUAUAAUAAAUAAAUGGAUAUUAUUGUUUAAUAAAUAUUUGAAAAUGGAUUUAAAUGUAAUUUUAUUUAAUUUAUUAAAAUGAUUAUAAAUUAAAAUAUGUACAUAUUGCCCGUCGCUUUCAUAUAUAAAUUGAAAUAAGUCGUAACAAAGUAGAAGUACUGGAAAGUGUUUCUAGAAAGAA
rnacentral:ncRNA from 1 species